ensembl:lncRNA
UUAAGAGGUUUCUGUGUAAAUUUCCGCUGAUGAAAAGCGCUCUCUGUGGGUCUCACUGCUGGUGAGGCGCGCUCUGGGCGUUGUGUGUGUGAAGCGCGCUCUGGGUGCUGCUCUGUGUGUGAGGCGCGCUCUGGGUGUGUUUCCGUGUGUGAAGCGUGAACACAGUGACAGUGACGGUUGAUGUGUGAAUAGGAGGACAUUAGUGCGAAGAGAAUGCUUUAAGAUCAAAGGUUGACGCCUAGUGUACCUGUGGAAAUUAAUUUUGUUCAAGGUGUGGCAACCCCCCUGUCUGUGGACGCACAGGCUGGUCCAGCGUCGUCUGGGUGCCGAGGUGGCGACUUGGGAACUGAGGACUCCCGCAUAGCUACAGAAUAACACUGGCUGCUUUGCCGGCCCUGAAAGCCGAGGCUGACCUGGACUCCUGCUCUCCCUCUACGUGACCCUGACCAAAUGCUGCAACAGCUGGACCCACAACAACAACCUGAAAAUGUCAGUGCUGCAGGAAUGCGAUCUCAUGCAGCAGAGACGGAGAGCACUAAACCUAAGGCCCGUUUCACUACACGGGGGAAAAUUCUCAGACUACGUCAGCUGACAGAGCUGUGACGGGAUGCCUGCCAAGCCCGAAUGAAAAGUAAGGCCGAGCAAAAGGAUGCUGAUCUUGAUAACUCUGCAUUAACACUGUGCAGGACAGUGAUGGACCAAUACGGCAGCAAAAGGGGCGUGGCCGAGACAGGAGGAGCAAGUGAGGUCAAAAGGCACCUCAGAAUGGACAAAAACACAGAAGAAGAUGCAGGUUUCACCUACAGUGAGCAUGGACAUUGGAGAAAGGACUGCCCCAAUUGGGGUCAGAACCAGGACGGACAGAACUUUGAGCAGCAGCAGCAGCAAUGGUCGCAAACAGACUGAAAAGGAGGAGGGCAGGACCCCAGGGCACGCUUCAGGCCAUGGUUUACCCAAGACACCAGAACAGGAAAGUGAUGAACACACACACACACAAACACACACAUCUACAUACACUGAUGAAAAGAAACACACACAUGAAUAUAUGUGCACUCGUCGAUUGAGUGAAAAAGGACACACACACACACGCUGAUGCAAUGAAGAAUGCUUUGCUAACAAAUGCUUAUGCUGAUAUGCAAAAUGCUGCACACAAACAUCCCAAUACAUAAUUUUUAUGAGGCCAUUGAUUAUCGUUGAUUACUUAAAAUGUGUUUUAUGUCACCCAGAGUACAUUUAUGUAGAUUUUAGGGGUAAGGUCUAAAACAGUUUGGUUAUGAAAACAAUGUCUGUGCGUGAUGUCUGUUUAUGGCUCAAGGCCUUGACUGAAUUCUUUGCUGUGCUUCAUACACAGCCCUGAUGAGGAGCAGUGGCACAGAGUGAAAAUGAUGAAUUAAUAGUGUAAGUUUAGGUCGGAGUACGGCAUUUUCUGUGAUUGAGAUUUAAUUCAAGGAGGAACAAAGGUGCUACGGUACCUGAGGUUCUCAUGCCUUAACAAUAUUGUCCCGGCAGGAAGCAAAACGUUCCUGUGAAUUUCUGGUUGAUUUUUUGGUUUUGCUUAGCGCUAGCUUAAUUUUAUCAGUGAGCUUUGGCUUGUGUUCUUUCUCUAAGCAAGAGAGGGAUAGUUUUAUGCUUGGACAUGUCUGCAAUGGGCCCUAGUUUGUGUUAUUUUUAUUAGUAUUUUGUUGGUUACGUUUGUGUUUGCUUUUGUUACAGUGCACUGAGAUAAGAAAAUCUGAGAGGUGUGAUCCACCGGUGGUGAUAUUUUGUGAGUUCAUGAUUUAACAAUCAGCUCUUUAAACCAGGCCUGAAAGAUUGAGAUUUAAAGCGCUAUAAAAUAUUAUUACUGUAAACAGUUGCAAAGUGUGCUUCUCCAUGAUUGUAAUUGGCUUGGGAGAAAUUCACUUAUAGGGGACACUGAUCACGUGAG